UACGAAGGUGUCUAGCGUUGUUCGGAAUCACUGGGCGUAGAGCGGGCGCAGGCGGACUAUCCAGUCAGGGGUGAAAUCCUGAGGCUUAACCUCAGAAUUGCCUUUGAAACUGAUAGUCUGGAGUGUGUGAGGGGGUAGCGGAAUUCCAAAUGUAGAGGUGAAAUUCGUAGAUAUUUGGAGGAACACCGGUGGCGAAGGCGGCUACCUGGCACACAACUGACGCUGAGGCCCGAAAGCGUGGGGAGCAAACAGG
rnacentral:rRNA from 1 species